rnacentral:misc_RNA from 1 species
GUGAAUCAUCGAAUCUUUGAACGCACAUUGCGCCCCUUGGUAUUCCAUGGGGCAUGCCUGUUCGAGCGUCAUUUGAACCCUCAAGCUCUGCUUGGUGUUGGGCGUUUGUCCCGCGUUUGCGCGUGGACUCGCCUUAAAGCAAUUGGCAGCCAUGUAAUUCGGCUUUGAGCGCAGCACAAUGCGUACUCUCCGCUGGUACAUUGGCAUCCAGAAGCCCAUUUUUUACUCUUGACCUCGGAUCAGGUAGGGAUACCCGCUGAACUUAAGCAUAUCAAUAAGCGGAGGA